AUACAGGAUGUGUGAUAAUCUUUUACAGCUCUGUAGCUCCUGUAGUUGGGAAAGUAAACACACUCCAGUACCCAAAGCCUUACACCAGGUGGGUGAUAGUGGUGAGUAACGCAGACCCAUAACUGGCCAAAGCUACACUUAGCUGUGGUUGGGCUACUCUGGCAUCAGAAACUUUAUCUCAUAUCUUUGUAAAGUCUUGUUUUACUACAGUCAACAUGAGGGCAUGGUCUUCAGAUACACCUAGAUGGAUGGUAUUUGAUGGUAUUCUAACUCAUAAUUUCAGAGAUUUGUCCUCAUCUUUCUCUCAGAGGACUUGGGCUGGACUGUGAACACCACCAACAUCAUCAACAAAUCCCAGCAGCGUCUCUUCUUCCUGAGAAAGCUGAGCAAGAUCUCCCUCCAACCCUGCUGCGCCAGCUGCACUACAGCAGAAAAGAAACCGGUGCAGUGGGUCAUCCAGUCGGCUCAGUGGAUCAUGGACUCCACGAUCCCACACCUGGAAGAGAUCUACUCGAACUGUCUUCUCCAACAUGCCACAGAGAUCCAGAAUGAUCCCACCCACCCAGGACACUCUCUGUUCACCAGCUUCCCCUUAGGCAGUCUAAGAGCCAUAUGAGUCAGCACAAACAGACUCAAACGCAACUUUUUUUUCUCUAUGGCUGUGAAAAGACUGCUGCAAAGCCCAUAAUUAUCCCACUCUGCAAUAAUUUGGACAAUUACAAUAACUGCUACCUGCACCACAUGUUCAAUACAUACUUACUGUUUUUUUACUGUACAUAUUUAUUGUUAUAUUUAUGACAAAUAUUUCUUUGCACACAUAUGUCUCAAUACUUUGAGUAUAUUUUUUAUACAUUUUAUAUUUUUACAUAACUAUUUUUUAAAAAC